rnacentral:rRNA from 1 species
GGCGGCCUUAGCGCGGUGGUCCCACCUGACCCCAUGCCGAACUCAGAAGUGAAACGCCGUAGCGCCGAUGGUAGUGUGGGGUCUCCCCAUGUGAGAGUAGGGAACUGCCAGGC